GGCAUUUGAGUAGUGCCUCUGAUUAGCUUUUUGAACUAGUGAUUGGUUAUCUGGUUUGACCAAACAAUUACUGUUAUUUUGGCUAUUACCACUGUAUGUAUGAUUUUUCUGUGUCCCUUUGGAGCAGUUUACAGGCUUCACGGCAUCUGAGUAGUGUCUCCGAUUAGCUUUUUGAACUAGUGAUUGGUUAUCUGGUUUGGCCAAAUAAUUACUGUUAUUUUGGAAUACAGCUGCAGAGGCUUUCCUGCUAAUUAGCGUUCUGUUAUAAGCUGUGGAGUCUUGUGGAGAGUUAGUAUGCUUUUAGGCUUUUACCUGCCUGGAAGAACUUUAUUGAGUGUUACUAUGUUCUGAGCCAGCAUAUUAUUGUUAAUAUAGCAAUGGAGACUGAUGAAAUGUGCACCUGAAGAAGAGUUUAGCGAAACAGCUAUUUAUCCUGGGGCAGCUGUUGGUGUGCCUUUUCCAGUCUCGUGCCCGUUCCGGUCUCUUCAGUCAGCAUUCAGCAGACUACACAGCAUGUACUGUUUUCCUGUUAUCAACUUUUGAAACCUUGAGUACAAGUGAUUACAUCCCUAUCAUCGCUCCCAACUAUCAGACUUCAAGAGCUGUUAUUGUAGAUGUGAGCGAAUUUGGAGCCACAUAUUGAUGCCAACUUCUGGCUGUUAGGUUUUUUGCUUCCACCAGACUCAGGGCUCCUAUUGGGAGUUUACUAUCUAUGUGCAUUGUAUUCAUUCAUUCAUACAUGCUGUUUGUAGAUGUCUACCUGGCUGGUUUUGUGUAUAGCAUAUUUCAGUCAUACACUUUUUGCAUAUAUACUGGUUUGGGGUAUAUUCUAUAUCAUGUUUAGUAUGUUUAUUGAUUAAAUCUUAUUUCCAUCUUAUUUCUA